AUUGAACGCUGGCGGCAGGCCUAACACACGCAAGUCGAGCGGAUGAAGGGAGCUUGCUCCUGGAUUCAGCGGCGGACGGGUGAGUAAUGCCUAGGAAUCUGCCUGGUAGUGGGGGAGAACGUCCGGAAACGGGCGCUAAUACCGCAUACGUCCUGAGGGAGAAAGUGGGGGAGCUUCGGACCUCACGCUAUCAGAUGAGCCUAGGUCGGAUUAGCUAGUUGGUGGGGUAAAGGCCUACCAAGGCGACGAUCCGUAACUGGUCUGAGAGGAUGAUCAGCCACACUGGAACGGAGCCACGGUCCAUACUCCUACGGGAGGCAGCAGUCGGGUAUAUUGGACAAUGGGCGGAAGCCUGAUCCAGCCAUGCCGCGUGUGUGAAGAAGGUCUUCGGAUUGUAAAGCCCUUUUGGUGGGGAGGAAGCGCAGUAAGUUAAUACCUUGCUGUUGUGACGUUACCAACAGAAUAAGCACCGGCUAACUUCGUG
rnacentral:rRNA from 1 species